rnacentral:rRNA from 1 species
GACGAACGCUGGCGGCGUGCUUAACACAUGCAAGUCGAACGGAAAGGCCCUGCUUUUGUGGGGUGCUCGAGUGGCGAACGGGUGAGUAACACGUGAGUAACCUGCCCUUUACUUUGGGAUAACUUCAGGAAACUGGUGCUAAUACCUGAUAGGAGCUCCUGCUGCUUGGUGGGCGUUGGACAGUUUCGGCGGUUGGGGAUGGACUCGCGGCUUAUCAGCUUGUUGGUGGGGUAGUGGCUUACCAAGGCUUUGACGGGUAGCCGGCCUGAGAGGGUGACCGGCCACAUUGGGACUGAGAUACGGCCCAGACUCCUACGGGAGGCAGCAGUGGGGAAUAUUGCACAAUGGGCGGAAGCCUGAUGCAGCAACGCCGCGUGCGGGAUGACGGCCUUCGGGGUGUAAACCGCUUUCGCCUGUGACGAAGCGUGAGUGACGGUAAUGGGUAAAGAAGCACCGGCUAACUACGUG